rnacentral:rRNA from 1 species
UCAGCCUCGGCUAACUCCGUGCCAGCAGCCGCGGUAAUACGGGGGAGGCAAGCGUUAUCCGGAAUUAUUGGGCGUAAAGCGUCCGCAGGUGGUCAGCCAAGUCUGCCGUCAAAUCAGGUUGCUUAACGACCUAAAGGCGGUGGAAACUGGCAGACUAGAGAUCAGUAGGGGUAGCAGGAAUUCCCAGUGUAGCGGUGAAAUGCGUAGAGAUUGGGAAGAACAUCGGUGGCGAAAGCGUGCUACUGGGCUGUAUCUGACACUCAGGGACGAAAGCUAGGGGAGCGAAAGGGAUUAGAUACCCCUGUAGUC